AGCACUGGACCUUGUCAAGAAGUUGUUGGUAGUGGAUCCAAAGGCACGUUUUAUGAGAGAAGAAGCCUUAAGACACCGUGGCUUCAGGAUGAAGACAUGAAGAGAAAGUUUCAAGAUCUUCUGUCUGAGGAAAAUGAGUCCACAGCUCUAUCUCAGGUUCUAGCCCAGCCUUCUACUAGUCGAAAGCGGCCUCAUGAAGGGGAAGCCGAGGGUGCCGAGACCACAAAGCGCCCGGCUGUGUUGUGA
rnacentral:lncRNA from 1 species